ACACGGUUUGCCCUAGUAAACGGCGAGUGAAGCGGCAACAGCUCAAAUUUGAAAGCUAGCCUUCGGGUUCGCAUUGUAAUUUGUAGAGGAUGAUUUGGGGAAGCCGCCUGUCUAAGUUCCUUGGAACAGGACGUCAUAGAGGGAGAGAAUCCCGUAUGUGACAGGAAAUGGCACCCUAUGUAAAUCUCCUUCGACGAGUCGAGUUGUUUGGGAAUGCAGCUCUAAAUGGGAGGUAAAUUUCUUCUAAAGCUAAAUAUUGGCGAGAGACCGAUAGCGCACAAGUAGAGUGAUCGAAAGAUGAAAAGCACUUUGGAAAGAGAGUUAAAAAGCACGUGAAAUUGUUGAAAGGGAAGCGCUUGCAAUCAGACUUGUUUAAACUGUUCGGCCGGUCUUCUGACCGGUUUACUCAGUUUGGACAGGCCAGCAUCAGUUUCGGCGGCCGGAUAAAGGCUCUGGGAAUGUGGCCUCCACUUCGGUGGAGGUGUUAUAGCCCAGGGUGUAAUACGGCCAGCCGGGACUGAGGUCCGCGCUUCGGCUAGGAUGCUGGCGUAAUGGUUGUAAGCGACCCGCUAAAAAAAGGGGGCCCAAAAGGUUCCCAA
rnacentral:rRNA from 1 species